AAUACUAAAAACAAUUGAUAAAACCUGCAAAAUCUUAUUUAUAAGAAGGAAGAAACACUUUCAGUCUGAUAAAUUUAAGACCAGGGGAAGCUUCUUUGACGAAACUUGCACUUAAAUCUCCCCAGAACAUAUUUAUCAAAAAAUCUCCCCAGAACAUACGGUGAAGGUGAUAUAGAAAAGCAGUAGAAAAUAGAACCUUUAAGAUUGAGAUUUUUUUAAGAAGUUUAUGUUUAGUUGUUUCAUGGGAGUAGAUAUUGUGAAGGUUGAAGCACCACAUUGCAUGAUGAUUUAGCAUCUUUUUACCAAAACAUACAUAUAUUGCCUUUUCAGCCCAAAUACUAUGAUGGAAACUACAAGAAGAUGCUAGAGAUACUCCUCGGAUGUAAGAACACUGGAUGCACUUUCCUCGUGGGUGGUCGUAAUGUUGAUGGUACUUUCAAGGUUCUUGAAGACUUGGACAUUCCAGAAGAGUUGAGAGACAUGUUUAUAUCAAUUCCAGAUCAGAGGUUCCGCAUGGAUAUAUCUUCCACUGAGAUAAGGAAAAGUCUUGGAAUCUAAUUUCUCUUACUCUGGCUGCAACCUUCAGGCACGACGAAUAAUCUUUAGUGUUGAAAAUGAUUAUUAUAUCCAUGUGAAUGGUGCAAUUCCUAAUGAUUUACUUAUAUACAGAAAAACAAGCUUACAUAUCAUGUCAGCUACUGAUUGAUCUACUGAUCCAGACAAUGUCUGACUGCAAUUAUAAUCUAACCGAGGUAAUUUACUUCUUGA